GAUGAACGCUGGCGGCGUGCUUAACACAUGCAAGUCGAGCGAUGCAGUUUCCUUCGGGAAACGGAUUAGCGGCGGACGGGUGGGUAACACGUGGGUACCCUGCCUCGUAGAGUGGAAUUGCCUUCCGAACGGAAGCUUAAUACCGCAUAACGUUGAAAUCUGGCAUCAUCAUUCAACCAAAGGCCCAGUCCGCUCUGGGACAGACCCCAGACGCAUUAGCUGGGUGGUGGGGUAACGGCCUACCAAGGAGACGAUGCGUAGCCGACCUGAGAGGGCGAGCGGACACCUUGGGAGUGAGACACGGUCCAGACGCUUACGAGACGCAGCAGUGGGGAAUAUUGCAAAAUGGGGGAAACCCUGAUGGAGCAACGCCGCGUGAGUGAUGAAGGUUUUCGGAUCGUAAAGCUCUGUCUUUAGGGAAGAUAAUGACGGUACUCAAGGAGGAAGCCACGGCUAACUACGUGCCAGCCGCCGCCGUAA
rnacentral:rRNA from 1 species